CGCGGCCUAUCAGCUUGUUGGUGAGGUAAUGGCUCACCAAGGCGUCGACGGGUAGCCGGCCUGAGAGGGUGACCGGCCACACUGGGACUGAGACACGGCCCAGACUCCUACGGGAGGCAGCAGUGGGGAAUAUUGCACAAUGGGCGGAAGCCUGAUGCAGCAACGCCGCGUGAGGGAUGACGGCCUUCGGGUUGUAAACCUCUUUUAGCAGGGAAGAAGCGAGAGUGACGGUACCUGCAGAAAAAGCGCCGGCUAACUACGUGCCAGCAGCCGCGGUAAUACGUAGGGCGCAAGCGUUAUCCGGAAUUAUUGGGCGUAAAGAGCUCGUAGGCGGUUUGUCGCGUCUGCUGUGAAAUCCCGAGGCUCAACCUCGGGCCUGCAGUGGGUACGGGCAGACUAGAGUGCGGUAGGGGAGAUUGGAAUUCCUGGUGUAGCGGUGGAAUGCGCAGAUAUCAGGAGGAACACCGAUGGCGUAGGCAGAUCUCUGGGCCGUAACUGACGCUGAGGAGCGAAAGGGUGGGGAGCAAACAGGCUUAGAUACCCUGGUAGUCCACCCCGUAAACGUUGGGAACUAGUUGUGGGGACCAUUCCACGGUUUCCGUGACGCAGCUAACGCAUUAAGUUCCCCGCCUGGGGAGUACGG
rnacentral:rRNA from 1 species